UACAGAGGGUGCAAGCGUUAAUCGGAAUUACUGGGCGUAAAGCGUGCGUAGACGGUUAUUUAAGUCAGGUGUGAAAGCCCCGGGCUCAACCUGGGAAUUGCCUUCGAUACUGGCUUUCUAGAGGCUGGAAGAGGUUAGUGGAAUUCCCAGUGUAGAGGUGAAAUUCGUAGAUAUUGGGAAGAACACCGGUGGCGAAAGCGCCUUGCUGGACCUGCACUGACACUGAGGGACGAAAGCUAGGGGAGCGAAAGGG
rnacentral:rRNA from 1 species